UCUGUUGCCACAUGAACCCUCUGUGACCUCUAGCAGUCUACUGCCUGCCUGUUAUGUAGUUUGGCUGAUUCCAAGGUUCCCUGUCUGGAGUGGCGUGAUGUAUUGUUCCUUACAGAGCACCUUGUGUUAAGGUACGAGAAGCUUGAGGAGCAACAAGUAGAGUUUGAUACCUGAGGUAAUUUACUUUUAUAAAUCUGUUGUUUUUAAUUGUAGGUGGUCAGCUGCUGUUUUGCUUUGUAAAAUUAGGAUUUUAACUAUUGCUGCUGGUACACUCUGGCUGUAGUGCCUCCAACCGGCACUCCCCUAGUUGACUAUGCUUGUGUCUUAGAUAUAACCAACUGGUCCACUGUGUUUUAUUUAACUUGUUUUGUUUUCAGUGGUGCUAGUGGUCUGGUUUUGGUAGAGGCUAGGUACGCUAGUAUGGGUUCCUUCACGGAUUGUAGUGUUAACGCCACUGGGGCACGAUUUGGUAGUGACGGGAUUUGCAGUGAGCAUAUGCGGUGGGUAAGUUGGUGCACCCCUGGAGCACACCCUUAGACUGCCUCCCCACAGCUGGCCCUGGCCCACUCUGCAUUGUUUUGUCUUAAUAAUCAGUAAUAGCUGGGAGUGUUAAAAAUAAAAUGACUUGUUUGCCAGAUUUGUAACCUCUCAUAUUCCAUUGUAACUUGAUGAUUUGUGGCAGUCAUCCUCUUUUCUGGCACUUCUAGUUACCAAUUAUCAAUAAGUUAUUCUUUUGGAGCCACUUCUGUCUUACUUGUGUAGCCUUUAUAUAAAGGCUUAGUCAAAGAAGAGAGCAUUUCCUGGGGUGGAAGUCCCCAGGUGGCGUUGUCGGUUGGUUAGAUUCUGGUUCCCCUCUUGGCGCUGCCACACGAGGAUUAACAAAAUAAUCAAAGUGGCAGCUAUAACUAGCCAGUUCUCUAAAUCACUCACAAUCAACAGGUCUAUUCCCGCUCCGGUCAACUCCCAACUUUUGAGCAUUGCACAGGAAAACCUACCAUGUAGAAGUCCUACAUCUUUUCCUCUUCCCAGGUCAAUGGCACUUAACUAACCUCGCUUACUCUACACUAUAUUAUAUACAUUAUAUUACCAGAUGAACUCAACACCUUUGACGCUCACUUUGAUCUCCUCAACAAGGAGGCUGCUGUAAAGUCUACUCCACCUCCAGGAUCCACAGCAGAUGUGAGGAGAGUCCUGCUGAGAGUGAAUAUGAGUAAAUCAGCUGGGCCUGAUAACAUCCCUGGCCGUGCACUAAAAACCUGAGCCAAUCAGCUAGUUGAUGUUACUGACGUUUUCAACAUCUCACUGUCUCAGGAGAGGGUUCCCACCUGCUUCAAGACCAUCGUUCCUGUACCUAAAGUCUACAGUGUCUAGUCUGAAUGACCGCCCCCCUGUGGCUCUCACCCUUCAGCACAUAAAGAACAACAGCCCAGCCAGCCUGGACCCUCACCAGUUUGCUUUCAGCACCAACAGAUCCACAGAGGACGCCGUCUCCACUGCCCUCCACUCAGCCCUCACACACCUUGAGAAACACCUACAUCAGAAAGCUGUUUGUGGAUUUCAGCUCAGCGUUGAACACAAUCUCCCCAUGAAGCUGAUCAGUAAACUCCACACAGUUUGAGAUGCACCUGAAUAUAUUUCUGAUAGUAUAUUGAUUUACUCACCUUGUGUUUUUUCAUCACAUCUGUAUUGUCCUUUUGUCCGUAAUUAUGUUUCAUUGUGUCAGUUGUUCGUUCAUUCUGUGUUUUCUUUGUCAAAUAAAUCCUCAAGUGUUGCAUGCUUUA